GCCACUCCGUCAGUCGUCUCCGAACGGUGUGGUCUGGAUCUCGCUAGUGUCCUCGAACCACUCGGCACGUAGUUGCACCAAUAGACGGGCAACAGACGCGAGCGAGAUAAAGUCUUACCGUUUGAGAUGGCUACGGAGGCUGGUGAAGCAACAGAAGGGGCCUUACGAAAUGGGAAAUUAAGCAGAAAAUGUAGCUGUGAUAUUUAUAGAAGCCAAAUACUCUGACGCGGCGCUGAUAAUCUGCUUGUCUUUCACCGGUGUGUCUGGCACAUACACACUCUAGAAAAUACACCCUAUUGCGAGGGCCGCCAAUCGAGGGGACGACGACGACGUCGUCGUAAUCGUCGUCAGCUUAGAAAACGUGUACCUAUAAGAUUGCGGUGAGAUUGCGUGAGCGAGAGAGGUAGAGGAGGACGAAAAGAUAGAAUGAUAGAGGGAGUAUAUUUGCGAGUUUCGACGGAGAAAGCUGCGAGUGGGAGGGAGAAAGUCUUUGUUUCUAGAGGUUGGUUCAACCGGCGCUCAGGCAAAAUUACCCCACGCCCAAGCAGUCACGUGAUCGUCUGCGUGAUAACCCGUGACGAUGAGAGGCGACUUUCAUCCGGCGAGCUUCUACACUCCCACUUUAGCCGAAUCAGCUGCGUACUUUCCCACCUCCAGCAGAAUUAUUGGUUUCUGUCCGGAAUAGUGGGCGGGAAUCACGGUCUCUGCAUGGUGUUCCCGUUACCCCCGAGAGUCGUAGGUACACCUCAAGUAAGAUUACUUGCUAUGCAAGCAUGCGAUCGACUUGUUCAUUCAGGAGAAUGACUGGACAAAUUCUUCUAUAUCCGAUGUGAAAUAUGUUAUAUGCAAUGUGUAUGUGUUGCCCGGCGUUGCCAUAACCGUGUGCCCAUAGAUCUGCGAUCUGUGCCACGUCCGCCACGAAGAGAUCACGGGGAUAGGGGCGUUAACGCGUAUGUUUUAGAUGUUUGAAGAGCGUGAGAGAAACUUUUGAGAGAAGGAAAGAGAGAAAGAGGGAGAAAGAGAGAGAGAAAGAGAGAAAGAUAUCAGGAACCGAGGAGACGAAGAAUGCGGAGGUCAAUGUGAAAAGGGAGAAACGAUAAUAGAGUAAUAGAAAUAAUUUACGUACGUGCAAGGAAAUAUUGCGUAUGAUCAAAGAAACGGAUAUUAAUGUUGUCUCGACUCGGGUAACAUUCAUUUCAAUCUAAAAGCUUCAGCUUCUAAUUUAAUUUUGAAUAGAUUGUGUGUAGCUUAAUGUAAUUUGUCUAAAGUCUUGUCGAAUUUCUUGAUAUCGCGAGGAGUCGAAAGAUUCGAAGACUCAAGAGUCCGGGGAUUCUAAGGACUCUCCGCGCACGUCCAGGAGUCGCGGCCAUGCGAAGCUCUCGGAAUUGAGGCGCCUCGAAGUCCAGGGAUCUCGGAACCCAAGAUCUUAGUAUCCAUUGGUCUCGGUAUUCUAACGCAAGUCCGAAUCUAAGUAUCUACGAAGGUCCACGAACGGAUGUCGAGCCUGAGGCGAAUCGACCACAGGGAUCUACCGCAGAAAAAGAGGGAUGUAGGAGUUAUCUUACGUGCAAAGUAUAUACGGAAGGAUAUAAAGAGCGCAAGGAGCGAAUUGCUGUUCAUGCGAAUACGUUAGCCGACGCGUCUUAAACUUUGACAAGUACGUUCAUGUGUGUGCGUCUAUGUGGACUCGCAUUGCUGAUAUAAUCCAGCAACCUACACGUGCUCUGAUUGCUCCAUGUUUAACGGUGGACGAUACUUGGCAAACAAGACCACGACCUUGGUUUUGGUAACGAAAUAUCAGGCAUUUAUAGUAAUAUUCACGAUACAUUGAUGAACUGUUCUCGGUAAUAUUACUUUGGGGUAUUCUUUAUGAUACGUAAGAUGAUAGGGAGGGAGGGAGGGGGAGGGGGUUUGCAAAUAAGUCUUUUUGACUACAGAAAGUUGCGUGCAUUCGGAAGACCUCUCGUCUGACCCAAGCAGAGCCGACGAUAGCGAAGAAUAUGCAGUUCGAGUCACUCGAGAUCUUACGCCUGAUCUCGACCCGAUAUCACUUGAAAACAUUGAAGAAAGAGAGAGAGAGAGAGAGAGGGGUGAGGGAGAAUACGAAGCGCAUUCUGUUCUAACGAAGAGUAAAACUCAGCGUAUCGAGCGCGGACAUCAAAGCGGCCUGGCUCGGUGGAUGGCUCGAAAGAAAACGAAGUUUUCUUGUUUUCCUAUACAAAUUGAUUUACGCUAGCGUAACUAGCUGUCGUUCCUUGUUAAAUAAUCACCGUACUUAUCUAUGUUAAUGCAUCAUGCGGACUGCUCUGUUUCGUGUCUCUUUUUGUGUUUCACACAGCAGGCGGCAGAACGAAAGAGCUAAAGCCCCCCUUGGUAGAUUCACGAAACGGCACACCGACAUCUCGCACUCGUCUAGUCGGCAAGCUGCGUGUGGCCAUAAACCCGUUAUUCGAUCAUCGCCGGGAGAAGUACACGCAUAUCGAGCGGUCAUGGAGAAUUCGUAUAUCGCGCGAAAGAACACUGGAGGUAACGAGAGACGAAGGAUCGCCCGGUGAUUCGCGGCUCUUGUAACCUGAAGUAGGUAGUGCUAGAUGGGGUUUGGGCGGGGGCACAAACAAUGUUCUUAUGAGUCACAGGAUGACACAUCGCCGCCUCGCACGAUGACACAAGGGAAAGCAUGCUCGGAAGACCUUCCGUUUCAAGGCGAAUCGAGAAGACCUCUUACGAAACCGUUAAAGAUUACAGUCGGGAAAGUCAUUUUACACGCUCGGUCAGCUCGGGUUGUAGCCUCGGUGGCCGUGAAACGUCCACGAAAACCCCACGAAGACUUGUCGAACCCAGGAAUCUCGGCUAUGAGGACCGCAAAAUCCGAUGAAUCAUUUCUGAAUUUGAGGAUCUGAACAUCUAAGGACCCAAAAAUUCCAGGCUCUUAUUGUCCCAUCUGGAAUCUGAAUCUCUCAGAAUUCAGGGAUAUAUAUAUAUAUAUCGUGAAUAUCCAGGUGUCUUCCUCUCCGUCCGAGGACGGAAUUUCGCCGGACAAAUAUUCUUCCUUUCAGAUCGCAUUUAAAAAUUUCAUCAUCAAUCGAAGCUGAAUCAUUUCAUCGCGACGACCCGCGGGGCAUUCGGAAGCCUUGUUUUAUGAAGGAGAUAAAUAACAGAGAUAUCCAUUUGUGGAGCAAUUUUGUAUCAAGACGGCUAAACCGUGUCAUACGACAGAUUUAUUCGAAUGAUUAAUGACGAACUGUUGAAAUCUUCACGCUCGAGAAAAGGAAAAUCUUUACUACUGCGUAAGAUCAUUUCUAGAAGGUAGCGAUUUUAAAAGGUAUUGGAGAAAAGAGGUAUAUCAUAUUUUUUAUUCAUUACAAUCUAUAGCUUAAUAUAUAUAUAUAUAGGUUCAUGUCCAUUUUUGGGGGAUGUACGGGAAGUGGGAGGGGGGACAAAACCACUUAAUUUUUUUUUCACAGAAAGCCGUUAUUUGAAACCAGUAUUUGUUGUCGCGUCCGGAAUGUGUUCUAUCCACAGAAUAAGCAAAACUGCUUGACUGUUGAAGACGAUGUGCCUCAAAUGCGGUAUCUCACAUGUCUCUAAAUGGCUACGAAAAGCUAAAAAAAAAACCGGCAGAAAUGGGUGAAAAUGAGAAAAUUUAACGAGAUGGAUCCGGAUCAGCGGAAAAGCCAGCAAGUUUUUGCAAAUUUAAGUUAGCACGAGAUCUUUGGAAAGUAAUCGUGAACAUUCGAGGUCUUCGGAAGCGAGUUAUCAGUGUAUCUCAGAAUACGAUAGAAAGCAGAAUUAGGGGUCAUCGAUCUGUAAGUCUCUCAGAACGUCUAACCGAAGGUCUAACAUCUGAAGUAAGCGUCUUCCGGGGGCAUUGUGACGNGGGGGGGGGGGGGAGGCACUAAUCUUGCAGGACAUUCGAAGCGUUUCAGACAGCCGCGACAUAGUUAAGGUCCGGAACCUUUUAUCUGGGAAUCGCUACCCUCGCCUUAAAAAGCAGAUUCGCGGAAUCCUAGAAGUCGUAUGGCCGAUCGACUUCAAGAGCGUGCGCUUCCUUGCAUCCGCGGCGUUGACGAGGUCGCGGGCAGCCUUUCAAACUUUUCGUUGAUAUCCCCGAUCCGGUGGCCGGCUUCCACAUCAGAGAGAGAAAGAGAAAAAGAGAGAGAGAGGGAGAGAGAGAAAGAGAGGCACGUGAGUUCCACCCGCCUCUCUAUCACCUUGCCCGCUAAUGGAGUGUUUUAGAGCGGCGCGAGACGGCCGUUAAGCUUGCGUCGUGAGUUCUACAAACUGCUCGUCGCUGGUCUUCCAACACCCGCUCGACUGCGCGCGUGCAGUCGUCCUGGUCGUUUGGUCCUCGAUCUACUUUCGUUGGUCUCCUUCGAGCUCCUCAAGAUCCGUUACGGGCGCACGGGUUGUCCACGAGCUGUCUACGUUUGCGGCUUGCUGCCAACUGGAGGAAGAAGGAGAGAGGAAGAGUGCUUUUUCGUCGACCGGGAUUGCGAGGAACUGAUACUUUCCAACAGGGCCAUUGCGGAGAAUGCAGAGUUCCAGCAAAACAGCACUCCUUCCCUUCUAAAAUGAAUUAUUUUUCUAGAUGUCGAUUGCUUUAAGAAUCGUCGGUAUUUCACACGUACUGAAUCACGGACAAGAUAUUGGGUCGGAAAGGAAUAUCAUUUGAGGACCGAAGAAAAGGAUUCAUCGUGGGAUCAUCGCAGGACGUCGCCGCAGAAGAAGACCGUCGUGGGACCGGCGCAGAAGAGGAUCACCGCGGGAUUUCGUUACAGAAGAGAAUCAUUGAACGACUUCGUCACGUUAAAAUUGUCAUGGCACUUUGUCCUAGAAGAGGAUCUUCAUGAUUGGACUUCAUCGUGGAAGAGGAUCAUCGUGGGACGUCAUCGC